rnacentral:misc_RNA from 1 species
AACCUGAGAACAUAACCAGGAAACUAUAGAGACAUCACUUCUCUGCAGGGCUGCUGUGAAUGCUUCCUCGAAUUUGCGCUCAGCUAUCAAUCUGGUUAAUUCUUUUGUUGGAUCCAAAGGAGCCUCAGCCAUCUCAUGUAAACCAGCCAGUGGUCCAUUACUCAAAGAGGGAUUUCCCAAUUUGGAGUUUGCACCUGCAGCUGCAAUAGCUAAGAGCUUGUGUUGGCCCUCGGCUAAUUCUCCACUCAGGGUCUGAGUGAUUGAUGAUG